rnacentral:lncRNA from 1 species
ACUCUCCUUCUCGUCUCCCCUCCUCACCUCACCUCCUCUCCCGAAACUCCCUCCCACGAAGCCAUGGCGUCCACCCCCAGAUCCGCGCGUUGCCCCACCGCGUGAACCCCAUCUCGGCCAGAUCCAGGGCGAGGUCGGCGGCGGACGGGCGAGGGGCGAGGCAGGCGGCGGGGAACACAGCAGAGCCGGCGAAGGGGAAGGCAGAGGAGGGGUCAGCGAAGGGGAAGGCAGAGGAGGGGGC